CGGCGGUUGCGGCUGGGCGCGCGCCCGGGGUAGGGCGGGAAGCGUGUUUCCCUGCCCUCUUCCCGCCUCCCGGGAGGGGGGGGAAUCUCCUCCAAUAACGCUCCGCUGCCCGGUUACUCCCUUAUCAUUUUUUUUUUUUUAAUUAUUUUUAUUUUUUUAAAUGUAUACGUUGGCCGAGCUGGAAACGGCCUGCCGGAGCGCGGCGGGCUGGCGAGGAGAUGGGGUUGGCGAGGAGAGGGGGAGCAGCGGCGGCCCUCUGGGACCUCCGGCCUGAAGGGAGCGCUUGCUGCCGGCGGUCUGUGCAGGAAGGGAGCUUCCUCUUUUUCUAGGCGGGCCCUUUUCGGGCCUGUGGGUAAUUCCUGACGGAAGAGCCUCCGUCAGCCAUCUCCUUCCCGCCCAGCCGCGGCUGAGGGGAGCCGAAGGGACGGGCGGGAGCGGGGCCCCGCCGGCCUCCCGAAAACGGGCGGCUGAAGUGCUGCGGUAGCGUUGUAUGCAGAUAAUUACGUUAUUUUUACCUCAUAUGUGGACGAAUAUUUGAGCCUGCUUCCCCCCCUCCCCCGCUUUGGACGCUGAUCUACUUUGCAUAUUAAAUGUCUAAUGGCAAGUACAACGUCUAUAAACAGUUGGAAACGCUGGAAAAUGAGGAGAAAGUCCGUCUCCUGAAAUAAUCCAGAUUUCUUAACAACCGAAAAGCCUUCAUGUAAAAUUACAUAAUUUAUGCUGAUUUACAACUGCAGUUAACUCUUGGUCGCAUUUUGACCAAGUUUUCAGACCCCCGGAAGACGCGUUUUCAAGCAAACAGCAAUUUUACAUACAAGGAAAACUGCGUGGUGUGUUUUUUUUGGGUUUUUUUUUUUUGCCAUCUAUUAGCCUUGCACACUCACACGCUCACUGGUCCAGGCACACGGAAUUGGAAUAGGCAUCUGGUGAGGGAUCCCGGCUGCUUUUUCUCCCCUCAGCAGGGACUUCCCUGGUACCAGGCAGCGUUUUUUAUUUCUGUAGUACCACCCAGCGGCGAGGCGGCGCAUUACUCGGAAUGCCUCUGGUUUACUGACUUGUACAUAGGAUUAAGGAAACAAACCUAUUAAUAGCCGCAAUGCAGAUGCAAUAUAGCUUAGUAGAGGGUAAAAUAAGUCAAAAUUGCCAAAUUAGGAAAAAAAAAUGGAGGGCUGUUCUGAGUUCCUCAGUGACUGACUUAAAUGGAAACAAUAUACGUAACUCUGUCAUUGUGGAAAUGCAGUUCUGUUUUUUUUUUUUAUUUAUUUCCAUAAGCGUGUGUACACAGGCUGAUAACACCACUGGUAGUUGUAUACGUAGCCUCCCACUCAAGUGCACAGAACAUUCUCCUAACAGUCCUUGAGGCAUCAGUUUGUUAAGCUAAGCCAAAAGAAAUCCACUACUCUUUAAAAAUAAGAGACAAGUUAUUGUAAUCAAAAGAUCUAGCCUCAGACACAACUACUGUGGAAGUCAGGAAUAUACUAGAAUGAUCUUUCACCCAGACUUCUUGUCACUACUUGUUUUUUAAAUACUUUCCAAGUUGGGGUUAUUCUUAAACAUUCCCUGCUGAAAUUUCCAUUGACUGAAUUAAAUUAAUAGAGAAAAUUAACUUCUUUGAGACUCUACAUGAGACGCGGAUUCCUUUUUGUCUGUUACUAAUUCACAUCACGUGUUAAUGCAAGUGUCUUUCAAAGAGGAUUUCUGAGAAUAAUGAAGGACACCAAUCAAUACAAGAGACAGGAGGAGGACUGUGUAUAGCUUGAAGACUUGCAUAAGGGAAGACUAAAAGAGCAUUCCGGACUAUCACCGCGAUCACAUUUUGCUCGUGCCUGAACUAAGGUACCAGCCACCUUUCUUUUCUACGGCACUGCUUUCAAAACUUUGGGAUCCCUCAAAGGUGGACCAGGGGCUUUUACGUUGUGUGUUCCCAUUCCUGUAGCAGCGAUAGGCGAAUGGAUUGCACGUUUGACUACCAGGGAUUCCAGCAGAGUCUAAGAGGAGACGGGAGCUGUGACAGCUGGAAAGCAAGGGUCUGGUGGAGAUUUGCUGUCCUAACUUGAGAUUCAGUGCUACUAGUCUACGCUGCUAUUUCCAGAUGAGGCAGCCUGAGGAUUAUACCCACGUUCUCAGCUUCCUUCGGCGAUAUCCCUCACAGCAUGUGUCAAUCUUCAUUUUGAUUAUUUCAGCCGAUACAGUAGUCACACAUGACCGGUCAUCCCUUUGAUUUGAAAGCAAGACAACGGCUACUUCAGCAUCAGCACCUGAACCAUCUUACCAGUCAGAGAGAGCCCAAGACAGCUGCUGCUUUUUUUUUUUUUUUUUUUGCUAAUUUUGCUAAUUGCAAAGAUAUGAGGCAGUUACGAAGCUUGAUGCAAAAAUGCUCAAGCCAGAUGUAACACUAAAGAGAUGCCACAAGAAAAAACUGGUGAUUACUGCCUGGCUAUACGUGUUAAAAUAACCGGCAGUGGUAGUGAGCGGGCUGCAGUCAGCCCUUCGCAGCGCACACACACUUAAACCUUCUCAUGUUGUCACAGCCGAGAAAACAAUUUUAACUCCUCUCUCCAUCCUCCAACAUAAACUGGCCGACUUUUCCUGAUAGACUUGGCCGAUAUUACAGAAUCCACAAAAGACUAACGACAGACUUCUCAAGACUUAGAAAAAACCUUGAGAUUUAAAAGAGCUAAGACUUAAAAAGUGUUCAACCGUAGAAAAACCAGGCCCUUUCACACCUUGGGGACUUGGAAGAGACUAUCCAAUGUAUUGCUUAAAAAAAAAAAAGUGCUGUUUAACUUGCAAGGGGUAAAUAAAAGGGAAAAUGUGUCUAGAGUUCAUCUUUGACUUCUGUCAUUCAUCCGUACUCCUAACAUCCAGAACCUUGCUCCUCAACCCCAUCUUUCCUUAGCGCUCUCUUUUCUUGCACCCACUCACAGCACAAAGCAGCGCUCACAGGUAGCGGAAACACGUGUACAAAGACCUAUAGCGGCACGCGGGGCAGGUACAUGUGAAUGAGAUCUGGGAUUUCAUGUACUUGGAGUAAUUAAGGUGCAUUGUAUGUGCAAUCUUACCUGAAAAAUGAAUC